rnacentral:misc_RNA from 1 species
UUGUGCAACAACUGCUAUAAGCAGGGCCAUAUCGCAGCUGAUUGUACAAAUGACAAGGCAUGUAACAACUGUAGGAAGACAGGUCACUUGGCACGUGACUGUCAAAAUGAUCCUAUUUGUAACCUAUGCAACGUAUCUGGGCAUGUGGCUAGACACUGCCCAAAAGCCAAUGUGGUUGGAGAUCGUCGUGGCAGCAGUUACCAAGACAUCGUGUGCA